rnacentral:rRNA from 1 species
AAUCACUGCCGAAGCAACUAGCCCUGAAAAUGGAUGGCGCUAAAGCGUCGUGCCUAUACCGUGCCGUCAACGGCAAAGUUGGCCUCUGCCUUCGGGCAAGAGCCGUUACGUCUUGACGAGUAGGAGGGUCGCGGCGGUGUGCGCAGAAGGGUCUGGGCGUGAGCCUGCCUGGAGCCGCCGUCGGCGCAGAUCUUGGUGGUAGUAGCAAAUACUCUAGAGAGGGCCUGGAGAGCCGAUGUGGAGAAGGGUUUCUUGUGAACAGCCGUUGUACAAGAGUAAGUCGAUCCUAAGUGCUAGGAGAAAUCCGAUGUUGAUGGUCUGGCUGUCGACUUCUAUUCUCAACACUUAGAAAACGUUUUAGGCUUCCGGGCCGUAAAAGCGUAGGCUUCUCUCGCACCAUACACCCAGUGUGGAUUGCUCGUACGUGUUUUCCGGUGGGCUGGGGUUUAACAAGCUCCAGUCUAUACGGACUUGAACGAAGUCAUUUUCCCCCAACAUGUGGGGCUCGUUUGUCGCGUCACGAGUAGUCCAGGUUCUACGGCACGUGUGUGUCAUGCUAGCCGCACGAACAGUGUUGGAACUAGCCUUGGAGCUUUUGGUCGAGAAAUAGCUAUGUGUUAUCCUUAGCCCGUUGAAGGGCGAAAGGGAAUCCGGUCAACAUUCCGGAACCCGGCUGCGUAAACCGCUCUCUGUUGGCGUAAGCCGGCGAGCGCUUUGUUGGGGUAACCCAAGCUGUCCCGGAGACUCUGGCGGGGGGUCUGGGAAGAGUUUUCUUUUCUUUUUAAGCGUUCGUGGACCCUGGAAUUCUAUAGCAGAGAGAUAGGGUUUGGAACGCGAAAAACAUCGCAGUUGCGGCGGUGACCGGACUUCCCCCCCGGACCUUGAAAAUCUGGGUGAGAGCGACGCGGUGAUCGCGCCGGUUCGUAUCCAUAUCCGCAUCUGGUCUCCAAGGUUCAAAGCCUCUUGUCGAUAGAAUAAUGUAGGUAAGGGAAGUCGGCAAAUUGGAUCCGUAACUUCGGGACAAGGAUUGGCUCUGAGGAUCGGGGCGUGUCGGGCUUGGUCGGGAAGCGGGUCAGUGCCAACGUGCCGGGCCUGGGCGAGGGUCGUGUGUAUUCUUCGGCAGCAAUGUCGAGUGUCCCAUGAUCCGAACUCGGUCCCGUGCCACUUGGCCUCCCGCGGAUCUUCCUUGCUGCGGGUUUUCGACCAAGCAGACCAGGCUGGGCCGCUUCAGGCCCGCGUGGACGGCUCCGAAUCAAUCCCUUCGGCCGCCAUUCAACGGUCAACUCAGAACUGGCACGGACAAGGAGAAUCCGACUGCCUAAUUAAAGCAAAGCAUUGCGAGGGCUCUAGCCGAGUGCUUACGCAAUGUGAUUUCUGCCCAGUGCUCUGAAUGUCAACGUGUAGAAAUUCAAGCAAGCGCGGGUAAACGGCGGGAGUAACUAUGACUCUCUUAAGGUAGCCAAAUGCCUCGUCAUCCAAUUAGUGACGCGCAUGAAUGGAUUAACGAGAUUCUCACUGUCCCUAUCUACUAUCUAGCGAAACCACAGCCAAGGGAACGGGCUUGGAAACAUUAGCGGGGAAAGAAGACCCUGUUGAGCUUGACUCUAGUCUGGCACUGUAAGGAGACAUGAGAGGUGUAGCAUAAGUGGGAGAAGGCGUGGCUUUAUGCCUGUCCGUCGACGGUGAAAUACCACUACUUUCAUCGUUUCUUUACUUACUCGGAUAGGCGGAGAGCGUGUCCGUCGAGGGCUCAGCCCACGCGGACCGGUAUUCUCGCGCCAAGCGUCCGGGUUGCCGGCAAGCGCCCGUCAGUGCUUGGGUUCGUGCGUGUCCUUAACUUGUCACCGCAAGGUGGCUGUCACCGACCCACGGCCCUUGCCUCGGCUGGGCGCCGUCGACCGGCAAACACUCCCACGCGUGAUCCGAUUCGAGGACACAGCCAGGCGGGGAGUUUGACUGGGGCGGUACAUCUGUCAAAUGAUAACGCAGGUGUCCUAAGGCCAGCUCAGCGAGGACAGAAACCUCGCGUAGAGCAAAAGGGCAAAUGCUGGUUUGAUCCCGAUGUCCAGUAGGCAUAGGGACUGCGAAAGCAGGGCCUGUCGAUCCUUUUGGCUUGAAGAGAUUUCAGCAAGAGGUGU